rnacentral:misc_RNA from 1 species
CAUCUGUUGACAGAAACAAUUUAGCUUCAGCAAGGCAAUCAUGGCUUCAAGCGAAUUCUAUCUCCGAUAUUACGUAGGACAUAAAGGAAAAUUUGGUCAUGAAUUUUUGGAGUUUGAGUUUCGUCCAGAUGGAAAGCUUCGUUAUGCCAACAAUUCAAACUACAAGAAUGAUGUCAUGAUCAGGAAAGAGGCCUAUGUACACAAGGCUGUGAUCGAGGAGUUGAAACGAAUCGUUGAUGAUUCCGAAGUGAUGCAGGAAGACGAUGCUCUAUGGCCGCCUCCAGACAGAGUAGGUCGACAGGAGCUAGAAAUUGUGAUGGGCGAUGAGCACAUCUCAUUUGCUACCACCAAGUUUGGUUCCUUGAUUGAUGUUAACAAUAGCAGAGAUGCUGAAGGUCUGCGCACAUUCUACUACCUAGUACAAGAUCUCAAGUGCCUAGUCUUUUCACUCAUCGGUUUACACUUCAAGAUCAAGCCAAUCUAAGAGGACAUUCCAGCAAUUGCUCAUUCCAAAUUUGGAAAGGACACUUUUUUGUAUCUUGUAAAAAAAGUUUCAACUAGAAUUUGUGUGUUAGUGUAAGUUGAAUUGUUAGGGGAGUUUGUAUCCCAGCCCAGCGCCAAAUUGACCAGUAAGCCUAUCUGUCUGAAGGAUCUGUGUGAACUGCAUCAACCUGUCGUGAAUAGCUUUGGUCGUUUGAUGGAUAAUGAUAUUUGGAACAGUGUUCUGACAAUGGUCACUUAUGGAAAGAGUCCCCUCCAGAACUGACCAGACUGAAGUAUUCAGAUCAUCCACUUCAAGAGAACAGUAUUUGUUGUUUAAAUGCUUCAGAAGAAACUGUGAGGUGCUACAGAUCACAUCAUUCUCAUUACCAGGGUACCAUUUUCAUUAAAGGUGGAGAUCGACAACUUCGACUAAGUUUGAAGCAAAGUAUCUGUGGAAACGGUGGCCGAUCAAGCUUGGUUAUACUAAUUUACAGGCCAUACAAUUGUUUGUGAACAAAAUGGUGGGCCUGUUCAAUGUAUUGUUUCUAAUCUGGCAAGAUCCACCUAUUGCAUGGGACACAUUAUGGUGUAGUCAUGUCUCCAAACCCUCUUAAACAGAGUGAUCAUUCUAGAAAUUGUUAGCCUUCUACUUUUAUUUACACAAUAUCAUUAGACUACAUUAUGGAUGCCAUGUUUGAUUGUUUUGCAUCAAACAAAAACUUGUGAUGCUGUCCCCAUUGUCCAUUUGGGUUUAUUCUGUACUUGUAAGUUACACAUUUGAAAUAUUUGGUGCCCAUCUUGAUGAGGAGGGCAUGUGCAUGCGUGAUAGGGGAGACUAAAUAUGGUCGUCAAGGACAAGUUGUAAAUAAAAUCGUGAAUAAGUGGUCUAAUCCUUAUUUUGUGGAACAUGAGUGCUUUUAAAUUGAAAACAGAUAAAGGACCCUCAAUAUGAAGGUAUUCAAAUGAAUAUUUACUAUUAGGAUGUCUAUCACUGAAGAGCAUUAUUCAUAAAAUAUGGUUUUAACUUUUAAUAUUAGAUAAACACUGCGUGAUAUGAAAGAAUCAUCACCUGUCAAAUCCAGUCACCAAAAUUUUACAUCUUUUGAAACACAUGUUACUGAAGCCUUCUUUCAUACAUGUACAAUUUGCCUAUUAUAUAGCAUGUACAUCCAGAAAUCAUCAAACCAUUUUUUUUCUUCCUUGUAUAUCGCAAGUUAUUUCUAAAAACCUAGUAAAUUGUCUUGAUAUGUUGAGGGAAAGUAGUAGACAAUUCAUACAUUAAAAGACUGCACUUCAGACUGAAAAAAAUCAGCCUAUUUCGGUCAGGAUAUGCUCCGCUGAGACUUCGUCUGGCCUUGGGGUAUCCUGACUUCGAAAAAAUUAGAAAAUGUUUGUUUGAAAUACUCUGAAACAGCAGAAUUUUUAGUCUAACUGUACUCGUGUCAUUUUCUUAGGAUAUGAAUGGUCUCUUUUAAAGCCAUUAAAUGAUAAUUUUGCUAACGUUAGUUUGAUAUUCUUCUGUACAUAGUUUUUAGCACAUGUUUGUAAAUGGGGACAAUCUACUGUCAUUAUCAUUAGUUGACAUGUAAAUCUUCUGUCAAAAUCUUCUAUCAGCGAUGCCAUUUUUCAGACUGAAGUCUGAAUGAAUAAUUUUUCAACACAUUUUCGGCAUAGAAAACACCUCGUCUUUUUCUCUUGAUUGCACCCAAUAAUUACUGUUAUCGUACAUAAAAUUGGCUCUGAUUGUGUGCCAAGUCAUGUGAGAUAGAAAGUCUCCUGCAAUUGAGACUUAUCACGUAUAACACAUACUGUUUGUAUAUAAAAACGGUCUGAAGCUUUGCUCGCAUGUCUUAAAGAGUGUCUUGACUGCAUCAUCAUAGUAGAUCAAAAAUUGCACAUACAUUCGUAAUUCCGAAGCUUCGUUAUUCCGAAGGUUCGUUA